rnacentral:rRNA from 1 species
AUUGAACGCUGGCGGCAGGCUUAACACAUGCAAGUCGAGCGGGGUGAUGGUGCUUGCACUAUCACUUAGCGGCGGACGGGUGAGUAAUGCUUAGGAAUCUGCCUAUUAGUGGGGGACAACAUCUCGAAAGGGAUGCUAAUACCGCAUACGUCCUACGGGAGAAAGCAGGGGAUCACUUGUGACCUUGCGCUAAUAGAUGAGCCUAAGUCGGAUUAGCUAGGUGGUGGGGUAAAGGCCUACCAAGGCGACGAUCUGUAGCGGGUCUGAGAGGAGGAGCCGCCACACUGGGACUGAGACACGGCCCAGACUCCUACGGGAGGCAGCAGUGGGGAAUAUUGGACAAUGGGGGGAACCCUGAUCCAGCCAUGCCGCGUGAGUGAAGAAGGCCUUAUGGUUGUAAAGCACUUUAAGCGAGGAGGAGGCUCUUUUGGUUAAUACCCAAGAUGAGUGGACGUUACUCGCAGAAUAAGCACCGGCUAACUCUGUGCCAGCCGCCGCGGUAA